rnacentral:rRNA from 1 species
CCUACGGGGGGCAGCAGUGAGGAAUAUUGGUCAAUGGGCGUAAGCCUGAACCAGCCAAGUCGCGUGAGGGAUGAAGGUUCUAUGGAUCGUAAACCUCUUUUAUAAGGGAAUAAAGUGCGGGACGUGUCCCGUUUUGUAUGUACCUUAUGAAUAAGGAUCGGCUAACUCCGUGCCAGCAGCCGCGGUAAUACGGAGGAUGCGAGCGUUAUCCGGAUUUAUUGGGUUUAAAGGGUGCGUAGGCGGGUUAUCAAGUCAGCGGUAAAAUCGUGGAGCUCAACUCCAUCCAGCCGUUGAAACUGAUGAUCCUGAGUGGGCGAGAAGUAUGCGGAAUGCGUGGUGUAGCGGUGAAAUGCAUAGAUAUCACGCAGAACUCCGAUUGCGAAGGCAGCAUACCGGCGCCCAACUGACGCUGAAGCACGAAAGCGUGGGUAUCGAACAGGAUUAGAUACCCGUGUAGUC